rnacentral:rRNA from 1 species
GACGAACGCUGGCGGCGUGCUUAACACAUGCAAGUCGAACGGAAAGGCCCUUCGGGGUACUCGAGUGGCGAACGGGUAAGUAACACGUGGGUGAUCUGCCCUGCACUUUGGGAUAAGCCUGGGAAACUGGGUCUAAUACCGAAUAGGACCGCGCUCUUCAUGGGGUGUGGUGGAAAGCUUUUGCGGUGUGGGAUGGGCCCGCGGCCUAUCAGCUUGUUGGUGGGGUAAUGGCCUACCAAGGCGACGACGGGUAGCCGGCCUGAGAGGGUGACCGGCCACACUGGGACUGAGAUACGGCCCAGACUCCUACGGGAGGCAGCAGUGGGGAAUAUUGCACAAUGGGCGCAAGCCUGAUGCAGCGACGCCGCGUGAGGGAUGACGGCCUUCGGGUUGUAAACCUCUUUCAGUACCGACGAAGCGCAAGUGACGGUAGGUACAGAAGAAGGACCGGCCAACUACGUGCCAGCAGCCGCGGUAAUACGUAGGGUCCGAGCGUUGUCCGGAAUUACUGGGCGUAAAGAGCUCGUANGUGGUUUGUCGCGUUGUUCGUGAAAACUCACAGCUUAACUGUGGGCGUGCGGGCGAUACGGGCAGACUAGAGUACUGCAGGGGAGACUGGAAUUCCUGGUGUAGCGGUGGAAUGCGCAGAUAUCAGGAGGAACACCGGUGGCGAAGGCGGGUCUCUGGGCAGUAACUGACGCUGAGGAGCGAAAGCGUGGGGAGCGAACAGGAUUAGAUACCCUGGUAGUCCACGCCGUAAACGGUGGGUACUAGGUGUGGGUUUCCUUCCUUGGGAUCCGUGCCGUAGCUAACGCAUUAAGUACCCCGCCUGGGGAGUACGGCCGCAAGGCUAAAACUCAAAGGAAUUGACGGGGGCCCGCACAAGCGGCGGAGCAUGUGGAUUAAUUCGAUGCAACGCGAAGAACCUUACCUGGGUUUGACAUGCACAGGACGUGCCUAGAGAUAGGUAUUCCCUUGUGGCCUGUGUGCAGGUGGUGCAUGGCUGUCGUCAGCUCGUGUCGUGAGAUGUUGGGUUAAGUCCCGCAACGAGCGCAACCCUUGUCUCAUGUUGCCAGCACGUUAUGGUGGGGACUCGUGAGAGACUGCCGGGGUCAACUCGGAGGAAGGUGGGGAUGACGUCAAGUCAUCAUGCCCCUUAUGUCCAGGGCUUCACACAUGCUACAAUGGCCGGUACAAAGGGCUGCGAUGCCGUAAGGUGGAGCGAAUCCUUUCAAAACCGGUCUCAGUUCGGAUCGGGGUCUGCAACUCGCAACCAUGAAGUCGGAGUCGCUAGUAAUCGCAGAUCAGCAACGCUGCGGUGAAUACGUUCCCGGUCCU